rnacentral:sRNA from 1 species
AUGCUGUACACGCUGAUUAUGCAUCGGU